CCUCACACCUGCUCUAAUUGCAUCCUGUAUUGUUGACCCUGCAUUUGAGCAGAGAGUUGGACAAGUUGACCUCCUAAGUCUUUUCCACCUUGGCUGCCGCACGCUGGGUCGACAUUUUCAUCGUGCUGUCCACUACAACCCCGAGGUCUCUCUCCAUAAGUUGGAAUCCAUAAGUUGGAAUCACCUUGAAGGCAGUCCAUUGCAUUGCAUUGCAGCCUUGCAGUGCCAUCUGCACACGUCUAUUCAGAAUGUGAUAAAGAUUCUGCGUUGAGGUUUAUCUGCUUCUUCGGGACGGGAAAGGUGCUACUGAUUCUUCCGUCGCUUCAUUCUAAAUUCUCGCUACAUCAGCAAGGCUGGAGUUCGCGCGCUAUCUUCAUUCAUUCUUCUCAAACUUUGGCAACUUUGAAGCGCAGAGCCGGAUGCGACGUGUAGACUUGCGUCUCUUCACAGCAUGAAUCUGUCAAGUGGAGAAUGAGGAGGGGGAACUGUCUGAGAUUCUAAAUUCUUCGCGCCUUCUUACAGAGUCCUGGUGACGCUUUGCAGAACACUGUUUCUAAACACUGCUUGCUAUGGCAGAGCGCCUUUUAUUUAUUGCCCCGUCUGGGAUUUCUACAAGUGAGAGUACUCUACGGGCCGCGCCGUCCAGUAGAUGGAAGAGCCACAGACUACAGCUCCCAUUGUGCAUUUUACACGGGGCCAGGCCUCGCACUGUAUGCUGGGAAUCGUAGUCUUGCUGCCGCGCCUUAAUUCUCACCCUGAACACGAAGGAGGUUAAUUCCUUAUGCUCUCUUUCAGCCCCCCCUCUUGCAACAUUUCACGGGUUCUGUCGCAAAUAGCCGCCUCGGGCCUUAAAGCUCGGAUUAAAUCCGAACCUUAUCCCUCAGGUAUACAAGCAGAUCCCCAGACCCACUCGACUCCUGUGGGAACAACCAUUACAACCGACUCAAUCGCCCACCAUGACGGAGGACGGCUUAACUCAGGUGUGGCGCCUCAUGGGAGACGUAGUCUCUCCCU